rnacentral:misc_RNA from 1 species
CAGAGUUGCAAAACUCCCAACCAUUGUGAACCUACCUCACCGUUGCUUCGGCGGGUGGCCCGGGGCGACCCGGGCCGCGCCGGCCCCCCUUGGGGGCCUGGCAAACCCGUCAGAGGAUCGAAACUCUUCGUCAUUAUAGGCCUCUCUGAGUAACUUAUACAAUAAGUCA